GGCAUUUUUGUCUAGUAAAAACAGUAAGUUUUACAACAAUUAUUUCUCAAACAGUUUCUCAUUGUGUAAAAUAUAUUUCAUAUGAUGUAGAGCUAUAUAAGCAGGUUUUUGGCUGACUUUUUUUUUAUCAGUUAAUCCAUGUGUAUUAUUUUCCUUUACUAUAUUCCUACUGCAUUAUACAAGGUUUAGAAGAAUAUCUGGAUAUCUAAUACUCUAAGUUAGGGUGCUUCUGGAGUCAAGACAUAUAAUAAAGAAAACUUGUGAAUAAGUUCCAUGGCACUUUCCCCUUCUUUCUGAUGCAUUUAUAAAUGUUAAGAUACAAAGAGAUUCACUCAAUGAAGUCUGGUUUUCCAGUGGAUGUGAACAUGUCUCAUACACCCCAGAGCACCAGCAGGGUUUUGUGCUGAGAUAGCCAUCUACUACUCGAGGGAAAGUGGCUGUUUGCCCUGGAUUCACUGUAUGAUCUUGAGCAAGUCACCUCACAUUCUUGAACCUCAGUCAACCCAUUUGGAGAAUUAGGUGAAAGCUAAGCCUUAGUGAGAAACAGAUGCUACAUCUGAGAUGAGUUUUCUUGUGUAAACAAGUAAUUCCAAAGUUUAAUUCCAAAGAAAGUUGCUGCGUGGAUGGUCAUGAUAUGGAGUCGACACGAGCUAUUGUGUUCAUGCAUUUGACAUUAACUAAAGGAGCAGUAGCUUGGCCUUUGAGUGGAAAACAAUCCAGGAAUUUCAGAGGAGAGGAACUCAGCAACAAGAGGCCUGGAGCUAUUAUCUUCUGAAGGGAGAUGAAAGCGCUCCAGUCCCUGUGCUUUCCUGGUUGCCUGCACAGGACUCUCUUGACUUCAUUGUGAGAACACAUCUGUGGUAUGAUUUGGCCCUGGAUUUCUUUAGAAACUAAGUGAAGUUCAAUAGAGUGAGAUGCGAAAUAACUGUUAGCUUAUGUAUGAUCACCCCUGCAAGACCCAGAAUCUGAUGGGCAAAAACUUAAAAACUUCAGAGGAGGGGAAUAAUGAAAGCCUAAAUUUAGAUUCCAUAUCUAGAGAAAAUACUCAAUUUACCAAACAUUUUAGAAAGUAGGCGGGAUAAAACCAGUAAUGCUCAUAUUGUAUUGACAUUUUAGACAAUUGUGAAUGAGUUUUCAUCAUUAAGAACACUCUACCAGUAUUUUUUACUGAAUUAUUAUUUAUAGACUUACUUGAGAGGCAGAGAAAGAGACGGAGAGGGUAGAAGUGGAGAGAGGGAGGGAGGGAGAAAGGGAGGAGGAGGAGGAGAGAGGAAGAGAGAGAAAGCUUAUGCUCCUAUCUGCACAUUCACUCCUCCAAAGUCUACACAAUGGAGCUGGACCAAGUUGAUUCUGGAAGCUAGGAACUCCGUCUGGAUCUCCUACAUGAAUGGCAGAACACCAACUGCUUGAGCCAUCACCUCUGCCUCCAAGGGUGUGCACUAGCAGGAAAGUGGAGUCAGGAGCCAGAGCUAGGAGUUGAAUCCAGGUACUCCAGUGUGGGAUAUGCAUAUCAUAGCCACUAAGCCAAGUGCCUGUUCUC
rnacentral:lncRNA from 1 species